GACGAACGCUGGCGGCGUGCUUAACACAUGCAAGUCGAACGGAAAGGCCCUGCUUGUGUUGGGUGCUCGAGGGGCGAACGGGUGAGUAACACGUGAGUAACCUGCCCUUGACUUGGGGAUAACUUCAGGAAACUGGGGCUAAUACCGGAUAGGAGCUCCUGCUGCAUGGUGGGGGUUGGAAAGUUUCCGCGGUUGGGGAUGGACUCGCGGCUUAUCAGCUUGUUGGUGGGGUAGUGGCUUACCAAGGCUGUGAAGGGUGGCCGGCCUGAGAGGGUGACCGGACACAUUGGGACUGAGGUACGGCCCAGACUCCUACGGGAGGCAGCAGUGGGGAAUAUUGCACAAUGGGCGGAAGCCUGAUGCAGCAACGCCGCGUGCGGGAUGACGGCCUUCGGGUUGUAAAACGCUUUCGCCUGUGACGAAGCGUGAGUGACGGUAAUGGGUAAAGAAGCACCGGCUAACUACGUG
rnacentral:rRNA from 1 species